rnacentral:rRNA from 1 species
GACAGAGGCCUCGAGCGUUAGGCGGAAUCACUGGGCUUAAAGCGCGUGUAGGCGGCUCGGUAAGUCUGCUGUGAAAGUCCAGGGCUCAACCCUGGGAUGCCGGUGGAUACUGUCGAGCUCGAGUCCGGAAGAGGCGAGUGGAAUUCCUGGUGUAGCGGUGAAAUGCGCAGAUAUCAGGAGGAACACCAAUGGCGAAGGCAGCUCGCUGGGACGUGACUGACGCUGAGACGCGAAAGCGUGGGGAGCAAACAGG